rnacentral:rRNA from 1 species
UACGAAGGGGGCGAGCGUUGUUCGGAAUUACUGGGCGUAAAGGGCGCGCAGGCGGCUCUGCAAGUCAGAUGUGAAAGCCCCGGGCUUAACCUGGGAAUUGCAUUUGAUACUCUGGAGCUUGAGUACGGGAGAGGAGAGUGGAAUUCCCAGUGUAGAGGUGAAAUGCGCAGAUAUCAGGAGGAACACCGGUGGCGAAGGCGGGUCUCUGGGCCGAUACUGACGCUGAGGAGCGAAAGCGUGGGGAGCGAACAGG